rnacentral:rRNA from 1 species
GACGAACGCUGGCGGCGUGCUUAACACAUGCAAGUCGAACGGAAAGGCCCUGCUUUUGUGGGGUGCUCGAGUGGCGAACGGGUGAGUAACACGUGAGUAACCUGCCCUUGACUUUGGGAUAACUUCAGGAAACUGGGGCUAAUACCGGAUAGGAGCUCCUGCUGCAUGGUGGGGGUUGGAAAGUUCCGGCGGUUGGGGAUGGAGUGGCGGCUUAUCAGCUUGGUGGUGGGGUAGUGGCUUACCAAGGCUUAGACGGAUAGCCGACCUGAGAGGGUGACCGGGCACAAUGGGACUGAGGUACGGCCCAGACUGCUACUGGGGACAGCGGUGGAGAAUAUUGCACAAUAGGCGGAAGCCUGAUGCAGCGACGCCGCGUGCGGGAUGACGGCCUUCGGGUUGUAAACCGCUUUCGCCUGUGACGAAGCGUGAGUGACGGUAAUGGGUGAAGAAGCACCGGCUAACUACGUG